AUUGAACGCUGGCGGCAGGCUUAACACAUGCAAGUCGAGCGGGGUGAUGGUGCUUGCACUAUCACUUAGCGGCGGACGGGUGAGUAAUGCUUAGGAAUCUGCCUAUUAGUGGGGGACAACAUCUCGAAAGGGAUGCUAAUACCGCAUACGUCCUACGGGAGAAAGCAGGGGAUCACCUGUGAACUUGCGCUAAUAGAUGAGCCUAAGUCGGAUUAGCUAGUUGGUGGGGUAAAGGCCUACCAAGGGGACGAUCUGUAGCGGGUCUGAGAGGAUGAUCCGCCACACUGGGACUGAGACACGGCCCAGACUCCUACGGGAGGCAGCAGUGGGGAAUAUUGGACAAUGGGGGGAACCCUGAUCCAGCCAUGCCGCGUGUGUGAAGAAGGCCUUAUGGUUGUGAAGCACUUUAAGCGAGGAGGAGGCUCUUUUGGUUAAUACCCAAGAUGAGUGGACGUUACUCGCAGAAUAAGCACCGGCUAACUCUGUGCCAGCCGCCGCCGUAA
rnacentral:rRNA from 1 species